AAAGGAAUAGACGGGGGCCCGCACAAGCAGUGGAGUAUGUGGUUUAAUUCGAAGCAACGCGAAGAACCUUACCAGGGCUUGACAUAUACAGGAAUACUUAAGAAAUUAGGUAGUCUUUCGAGACUUGUAUACAGGUGGUGCAUGGUUGUCGUCAGCUCGUGUCGUGAGAUGUUGGGUUAAGUCCCGCAACGAGCGCAACCCCUAUUUCUAGUUGCCAGCACGUAAAGGUGGGAACUCUAGAGAGACUGCCGAUGAUGAAUCGGAGGAAGGUGGGGACGACGUCAAAUCAUCAUGCCCUUUAUGUCCUGGGCUACACACGUACUACAAUGGCCGUAACAGAGAGAAACGAAACAGCGAUGUGGAGUAAAACUUAAAAAAGCGGUCUCAGUUCGGAUUGAAGGCUGAAAUUCGCCUACAUGAAGUUGGAAUUGCUAGUAAUGGCAGGUCAGCAUACUGCCGUGAAUACGUUCCCGGGCCUUGUACACACCGCCCGU
rnacentral:rRNA from 1 species